UACGUAGGGUGCAAGCGUUAAUCGGAAUUACUAGGGCGUAAAGGCGCGUAGGCGGCCUGUUAAGUCGAACGUGAAAUCCCCGGGCUCAACCCGGGAACUGCGUCCGAUACUGGCAGGCUUGAAUCCGGGAGGAGGGAUGCGGAAUUCCAGGUGUAGCGGGUGAAAUGCGUAGAUAUCUGGAGGAACACCGGUGGCGAAGGCGGCAUCCUGGA
rnacentral:rRNA from 1 species